rnacentral:rRNA from 1 species
UACGGAGGGUGCGAGCGUUGUCCGGAAUCACUGGGCGUAAAGGGCGCGUAGGCGGCAUGCCAAGCGUGUGGUGAAAGCCCGGGGCUCAACCCCGGGUCGGCCGUGCGAACUACUGGGCUGGAGCACUGUAGAGGCAGGCGGAAUUCCGGGUGUAGCGGUGGAAUGCGUAGAGAUCCGGAAGAACACCGGUGGCGAAGGCGGCCUGCUGGGCAGUUGCUGACACUGAGGCGCGACAGCGUGGGGAGCAAACAGG